UACGAGGGGUGCAAGCGUUGCUCGGAAUUAUUGGGCGUAAAGGGUAGGUAGGUGGUCUCAUUUGUCUGGGGUGAAAGCCUUGAGCUUAACUCAAGAAGUGCCUCGGAAACGGUGAGACUAGAGUCCUGGAGAGGGUCGUGGAAUUCCCGGUGUAGCGGUGAAAUGCGUAGAGAUCGGGAGGAACACCAGAGGCGAAGGCGGCGACCUGGACAGGAACUGACACUAAACUACGAAAGCGUGGGGAGCAAACAGG
rnacentral:rRNA from 1 species